ACACAUGACUUUCUAAACACCUUUGCUAACUAAGCUAUACUUUAUAUUGGUGAAUUUGUGGUUUUUUUCCUUUUUUGCUCUUGCCUUGUGUCAAGAACAGGCAAACCUCAUGAAGUGAACUGAGGCGUGUUCUUUCAGUGCUCCUGGAGGAGUUUGUGCAAGACGAGAAAUAGUUCCUUGGACUUGUGGCACUCAGCUAAAACUGUGGCACUUCCAGCCAGGGGGCCCUCAUGUGCCGCCUGUCUACCUAGAACACUCUGCUGACAGACUGACUUGCCAGCCCGUCGGGAGAAGGUGACUCCGCCAGGUUCACAUUCGGGAGAAGGAGGGCUGAUGCCUGCGGCCUCUGACUUCCUCUGAGUAAAAAAACAGCACCGAAUUAACAUGCAGCCUUCGGGUUGCCAAAGCCUCUGGAAUCGACACCCUAGGAGCAACCAGUCAGCAUGUACCAAGUCCAAGCUCGUCCUGCUCGCUGCACAACCGGCCACUAAGUCGUGAGGCAGGUUGUCGGGACAAGGAAUAGCGACUUUAUUCAGAAAUCCAGCAGACUGAGAAGGUGGUGGACAGUGUCCCAGGGAACCGUCUUGCCCAGGUGUGGAGGUUAGUUUCUUUUACAGAACAAGGAGUGGGGGUGAGGAGGUAAAGUUAAAAAAAAAGGGUAAUAAAUUGUUGCAAAUA